AAAAGUUGGUUUCUCUUUAUAGCAAACUUCUACACUAUUUACUGAUUGCAGAGAAAUUGCUACAGGAUGGCAACAGUGUAAUCUGAGGACGUGAGUGUCUGUUAUAGCCCUAAACAGAAACAUGACUGAUGGAAGGGCAACUCUGGCAGUGCGAUGUUCCAGGAUACAAAUGCCACAGGAGUGACAGAGACAACAGCUAUUGUUUUCGCGAGCUUUGGGGCAGAAGUUGCGAUGGGGACAGAGAGAGGAGACGCGAUGCUGUACGCUGGGCGAUGGAACUCCAAGUGGGAGUCUGAGGCCCAAGGUUUUUGGGAGGAGAACCAAAGAGGAAGGACGUAAUGGAUGCGCUCUAAUCGACCACCGUGGUUGGUCCCAGGCAGCGGGUCGAGGAGGUCGGAGGGGAUUAAAAUGGUGGAAAGAAGACUCCAUUAAUUGAACUCCAACAGUUGUGCACGAAGUGGUUGAUCUUUGAUAAGUUUGCCGCAUUUUACUUUCCUUUUAUAUUGUCUCUCUAUUAAUUACAUAGUUCCAGUAAGA